rnacentral:rRNA from 1 species
AUUGAACGCUGGCGGCAUGCCUUACACAUGCAAGUCGAACGGUAACAGGUCUUCGGAUGCUGACGAGUGGCGAACGGGUGAGUAAUACAUCGGAACGUGCCCGAUCGUGGGGGAUAACGCAGCGAAAGCUGUGCUAAUACCGCAUAAGAUCUACGGAUGAAAGCGGGGGAUCGCAAGACCUCGCGCGGACGGAGCGGCCGAUGGCAGAUUAGGUAGUUUGCGGGGUAAAGGCUCACCAAGCCUGCGAUCUGUAGCUGGUCUGAGAGGACGACCAGCCACACUGGGACUGAGACACGGCCCAGACUCCUACGGGAGGCAGCAGUGGGGAAUUUUGGACAAUGGGCGCAAGCCUGAUCCAGCCAUGCCGCGUGCAGGAUGAAGGCCUUCGGGUUGUAAACUGCUUUUGUACGGAAGGAAAAGGGUCUUUCUAAUAAAGAAAGCUCAUGACGGUACCGUAAGAAUAAGCACCGGCUAACUACGUGCCAGCAGCCGCCGUAAAAC